CAGAAUUCCCCUUGUUCACCAAUUUUUCGAUUUCCAAUUUUUAGGAUCGCGGCUUAAUCGUGUGGAGUUUUGUGUUCACAAAAACAUCCUUCAAUUUAAUAGAAGUUUUUAUUUGUAGACCCUUACCCUCCGUUAAAAUGGCUUAUUCUCCACUCUCACUGCCAGACCCGCGAGUAAAGAGCCGAUUAACGGUGAGCGCAGAAGCACGUUAGGAUUUGUUUGUGAGAGAGACAGGGAGCAGAAGAAUGACAGGAGCAUCAUAAUAGACCCUAAGGGGACCCCGGUUCCUGUACACAGCACACCGGAGCUGAUGGUCCAGAUGUGAGAUGUAACAUCCUUCACUCUGAAGCAGCUGGACGCCAACUGGUUAUGGAGCCAGUCUGAACGCGGAGCAAACGAGGGAGACGGCGGGGGAGGCUGCAGUGUGACUGCGAGGAAGCGGAGGAGAGGCGACAGGGAGCAUGUCACCAGGCAGCUGGCGCGGACCUGUACUGCUAACUGGUUCAGGGUACCCCGCCGACAUCAUUAGUUUUUUAAAUAAGAGUCCCUGGACAGUUGGGUAACUUCCUGAUUGAUGACCUUCUCAACAUGCAUCUCAAGUUGCUUCAGCAGGUUCACAAUCAAAGUGACAUGACUACAGUCCUAUUUUGGAUUACAUCAAGACAGCUUCAAAUCAAGUCACAUGACUACCAGUGACAUUGGUGUGAUUCAUUGAUCCACAUUCAUUUUAGUGUCUUUUUCUUAAUGAUGAAUCAGCCCAAAAAUUUCUGUUUUGGCCUUUUAUUGAGAGAAUGUGUGGCAGGUCAAAACAUGUAUUUGGAUGUUUCCAGAUCUAAAAAAAAAAUCAACCUAGCUAAACCAGCAAUAUUUCAAACACAUUUCAAUCUGCCCAAUGUCUCAUAACAAUGGUGGUGGAGAAAUUGUGUCUCAGAGGUGUUGACAUCCUCUCUCACUCUGCUCUUUCAGAGAGGUUUCGGUGAAUUAUUCCACCCCUCCAGUUGUAGCUUAAAGGAGGACUUCAUACUUCAGACGGCAUAGAGAAAGUCAGGCAAUGAUAGACCAUGGGACAGAACAGGCCCAAAAAAUCCUUUGAGUGUGAAAGAUCAAAGCUGAAAUAAUAAAAUGGAAUUGUGCUGAAGACACCCAGCAUCUCAGUUCCAGCAUAGCUGUGGGAGAGCUGGCUCAGCCCCAGGAUAGAGCCAUGUGACUUCGGGAGCGUGGGGAAAAAGAGCUGUGUGUAUUUAUACAUCCUCUCUAAGACUCGCUUGUGGGAUGGUGAAAUAGGUGACAAAGGCAUGAAUGAAGGAAUAGGACUUUAAUCGGGCAAAGGGGUAGAGAUGGGUUUAAAAAAACGGUGGAAUGGAAAUGAAAACAAAAGACAGACCUUCCAGGAAAACACACAUGAAAAUAGAGCAUGUGUAACAGAAGUACAGUAUAUUGGUGUUGAUCUCCAUUGCCAUAUGUAUACUUCUUUAACUUUCUUUUUUAUUUUACAUGUAUUCAUUCAUUCAUUCAUUUACUUAAUAGUUUAUUUAUUGUACGUGUUUUAGUUGCUAAUUUAUUUGCUGAGGAUUGUGUCCUGAGUCACCAGAGAAGGGCAGACAGUGGUGCACAGUUUAGGCCAUGCACCCCUCAGCUCAUCCUCUUGCUGUUUACAACCAUACACCAAAUGCAUUGAUUUUGCCUCAUUUCCACCAACAUGAGCUGGUUUAGUGCCAUUUUGAGAUUCUGCAUGCGUUUCCAUUGGUUUCAAAAUAGAAUGGAACAGAAAUGUUACAUAGGCUGAAGUGAGAGUAAAGUAAAGGUUCAUAUGCAUUCCAGUUUUUAGAUUUAUUUUGAUCUGUUUUGGAUUUUAAGUUUUUCUAAGCUGCUGAACUGAAAAAAAGUUUUCACAGUAUGACUUGAUAUCCUCCUGUAUCCACUUUUGUCUACUUAAGGGCCCCCAUCUGUGUGUGUUAAUUUAUUCUCACUCUGUGUUUUACCACUGUACU